AAGAUACAAAUCCCUGUCCCACUCCCUUUCCCGGUGAGAAUACAGUGAAAAGGUAGAAAAACAUGAGAGAUACAUUAUUCUCAGUAGUAUUUGGCUAGAGAGGGUUCAUGUCAUUACUGGCCCAGCUGGGGAUGGACGGUGCCAUCCCUGCCUCCACUUUAAAUACUGUUGGGUUCCACUUUGGGUGCUCCCCAGGUAUCCCGUUAAAAGCCUGAAGAUACCAGCAUAGGGAAGAUGGAUGUUUCACCCCAGAUGGAUAAUUUUUCCAGGAAACAUCUUUGUCAGGUUAAAAUUGGGUUGAUGUUGCUAUGGCUUCCUCCCUUAGCAGGUAUUUUCAUAUGUUACCUGCAGCUGGUGGCACAGCGGGCAUUCAUGGAAAACUGGGAGGUUUGACAGGUCAGUGUUCAGGGUUUGGUUCUGUAGCCAGCAGCCACCCAGCUGGCCUGAGUACUGAAACAGAGCUGGCACAACAGGGCUGGGAAGGGAGAGUCUCUUGUACCUGUAUUGUCUCCACAGAGGUUGUUUGAGAGUUAAACCAAACCAGGGAGUUUAAACUAGGACAGGUUGCCCACUGUAGACAGAGAUAGGUUUCAUAGAAAGAAAUAAUGCUUUGGGUUGAAAGGGAACUUUGAAGAUAAGCUAAUUUCAAAUCCCCGAUCUAAUCUAAAUCUGCCCUUGCAGUUUAAAACCAUUGCCCCUUGUCCUGUCACUACAGGUCUUGUAAACAGCCCCUCUCCAUCUUUCUUGUAGCCCUCCUUUAAGUACUGAAAGGUUGCAAUAAGGUAUCCCCAGAGCCUUCUGCUCUCCAGGCUGACCAACCCCAACUACCUCAGCCCCACAGGAAAGGUGCUCCAUGUCUCUGAUCAUUUUCAUGGUCCCCCUCUGGACUCAUUCCAACAGGUCCAUGUCCUUCCCGUGCUGAGAACGCCAGACCUGGAUAGAGCACUGCAGGCUUUGUCACUCAGAAGCCCACCAGGCCCAGAGAACAACAACCUUGACCAGCAGUGCCCAGAAAGCAACAAGAAGUCAUUGGGGCAGUCCACAAUAUUGUAUGAUUACUCAGAGGAGGAGCUCAUGGCCAGCAUCGAGCGGGAGUACUGCCGCUGAGUCCAGGUCCCCACCACGAGAACGGCAGGCACGAUGCUGGAAGCCCAGCUGAGCAGAACUGCUGGAUCCUGGAAGCCCAGCUGAGCAGAACUGCUGGAUCCUGGAAGCCCAGCUGAGCAGAACUGCUGCUGCCACCACAACGUCCCGCUGUGUGAGACUGCACGGCAGAGGUGGCUGGUGGAGGGGACUGGAGCAGGAGGGGCAGCGUGGCUGCUUGGGAAGCACAGAGGAGAAAGUUCACCUGGUCAGCUCCCAGUGAGAGCAGGAAGAUCCUCACCAGCUGCUGAUUUCUGAUUGGUACCACUUGGAAGAGGGACAAAUUCAUCUUAAGAAUCAAUAUUUAGAAGCUCAUUUCUAAAUGCGAUUUUUAAAUGAACAUGUAGUAGAAUUAAGUGCCAUACUAGAGGUGUUGAAAUGUGGCACUUUCAAGGAAGAUCUUGCUUUGAAUUUAGUAAAAAAAAAAUGCAGCAAUAUAAUCUGAUCCAGAAUUUAAGGGGAUGUUGCAUGAAAUUCACCAUUCUGCCACUUAAAAUGUGCCGAACUGUGCUUGUGCAAGUCUCAGGUCCAGGUCUGAAUUUGGCAUUGUCUCUUUCAAUCUGGUCCCCAGUAUGGGAGGUAGGAGGAAAAGGGGAUUGAGCCCACCAUCUAGUGCAUAGGCAGUGUAAUCCCAGAGUUCAAAUCCCGCCAUCCUGCCGCCAGAUUAGGUUCCUGGGAGCCAUCAGAGAACACAGGAUUUGUACGAUCCCUUUGGGAUAGGGUCCCAGCCUAGGUCUCCUACCUGGGGCUCCUGGGUGUGGAUCCAUCCCAGUGAUUGGAGUGAAAACAGGAGGCACAUCCCCAUUUCAGUCAUCCUCCUCAAGAGGUAUUUGCAUGCUCUUGUAGAGCAGCUGUUUGGGAUCAGUUUUCGUAAUUGCUACUCCUGGUCUUUCCCAAAUAUUUCUUGUCUUACAAGAAAAAUCACUGCAUUUUACCAUUAGCUGACUGCAAAGUAACCAGAAAGUUCUGUCCCCUAAGGAAAUAGUAUUUUCAGUGCUCCCAGACAGGGAAACCUGGUAUUUUGGGUUUCUGCUUUUAUUAUAUCUGCAUGUUAACAUAUUAUGAGUAUUUGCUUAUUCAGAAGUAGAAAAGUACUUUAUGCUUCACCUUCAGCUGAAGCAUAAAAGGCAUCGGAUGAAAUUUUCACUACAUGUAAAUGCAAGAAAAAAUUGCAGGACACCUCUUAAGAUGCUGUAUUUUAAGUACUUUAUGAUUCCUGGGACCUGUGAAACAGAAAUAAAUGCAUCUAUACUCUGAA